UACGUAGGGCGCGAGCGUUGUCCGGAAUUAUUGGGCGUAAAGAGCUCGUAGGCGGCUUGUCACGUCGGGUGUGAAAGACCGGGGCUUAACUCCGGUUCUGCAUUCGAUACGGGCUAGCUAGAGUGUGGUAGGGGGAGAUCGGAAUUCCUGGUGUAGCGGUGAAAUGCGCAGAUAUCAGGAGGAACACCGGUGGCGAAGGCGGAUCUCUGGGCCGUAACUGACGCUGAGGAGCGAAAGCAUGGGGAGCGAACAGG
rnacentral:rRNA from 1 species